rnacentral:lncRNA from 1 species
AUUAUUUUAAAAAUAAGAUCAAUAUUUUAAUUGAUAGAUAUUGAGAUUUUAAAUUGUGUAAAGAUUAGGUUGAGUUGGUUAGAUUUUGGUUAGGAUUUGGUUUAGGAUUAGGAUUGGAUUAGGAUUUAGAGUUUGAUUAAGAUUUAGGAUUGGAGUAGGAUUUAGAAUUUAGAUUAGAAUUUGCUUAGUAUAUAGGAUUUAGGCUUUAUUUAGGAUUUAAUUAAGAUUUGAUUAGGAUUUAGGAUUGGACUAGGAUUUAAGAUUUGAUUUAAGGUUUGCUUAAGAUUUAGGAUUUGGCCUAUGAUUUCAUUGAAGUACAUAAGAAUUUCAAGUAGGAUUAAAUUAGGACUUGAUUGAGAUUUAUUUAAGAUGUAUUUGUAAAUAUUUUAAUAUUUCUUUAGAGUUUUUAAGGGAUUCUUUUAAAGUUUAUUGUGGAUUCUUUUGAACUCUUUUCAUAAUUCUU